AUUGAACGCUGGCGGCAUGCUUUACACAUGCAAGUCGAACGGUAACAGGCCUUCGGGUGCUGACGAGUGGCGAACGGGUGAGUAAUGCAUCGGAACGUACCCAGAGGUGGGGGAUAACGCAGCGAAAGCUGUGCUAAUACCGCAUGUGAUCUGAGGAUGAAAGCGGGGGACCGAGCAGCAAUGUUUGGCCUCGCGCCUUUGGAGCGGCCGAUGUCGGAUUAGCUAGUUGGUGGGGUAAAGGCCUACCAAGGCGACGAUCCGUAGCCGGUCUGAGAGGACGACCAGCCACACUGGGACUGAGACACGGCCCAGACUCCUACGGGAGGCAGCAGUGGGGAAUUUUGGACAAUGGGCGCAAGCCUGAUCCAGCAAUGCCGCGUGCGGGAAGAAGGCCUUCGGGUUGUAAACCGCUUUUGGCAGGAACGAAACGGUGUCCGCUAAUACCGGGCGGUAAUGACGGUACCUGCAGAAUAAGCACCGGCUAACUACGUG
rnacentral:rRNA from 1 species